CGGCACCUCAACUGUGUUGAUAUCGCUUACAGUAUGUAUACUGUGCCGCCAACAUAUCUGUACUAUUAUACCUCACGACACGGACGGACCAUUUCCAUACCCACCCGCGCUAACUGCAACCAACGUUGUGCGUACUUACGCUGUUCCCGUUAAAUAUUGCACAUACUGCACAUAUCUGGAGCAUACGUAACGCUCGGGCUGCUCCAGUUUGUUCUACUUGGACUACGUUACGCAAUUAACCUGCUUAUCGCUGAUUAUCAGCCAACGCCAUCUUCCAUCCAAAUAACGCUUUUCCUCAUUACGGAGACGUUCCGUCGAAGCCUUGUUAACGUAGUUACCCAUUACCAACCGAACAUUUAUCCCAUUCCAAUCUGUCUAACGGUAAGCGAUCAUAUCCCCAUUAAGCCCGAUUCAGCAGCCGCGAUCUUUACACUGGUGUAGCGCGACAUGAAGUAGUCAGCUGGUUGGAAGCCGAGACUAAGGAUCUUCUCUUCUUAUGCUAAGGAAGAGCUAAAGGAACCAGUGACUUUAAAGCAUAUUUCCGGCGCCCCGGCUCUAACCUCCAGCACCUCGCUCUCUCCAUCGAUUUUGCGGAUUACUUCCGGUGGCUGGCAGCGGAC